UACGUAGGGGGCAAGCGUUAUCCGGAUUUACUGGGUGUAAAGGGAGCGUAGGCGGCGAUGCAAGUCAGAAGUGAAAGCCCGGGGCUCAACUCCGGGACUGCUUUUGAAACUGUAUGGCCAGAUUGCAGGAGAGGCAAGUGGAAUUCCUAGUGUAGCGGUGAAAUGCGUAGAUAUUAGGAGGAACACCAGUGGCGAAGGCGGCUUGCUGGACUGUAAAUGACGCUGAGGCUCGAAAGCGUGGGGAGCAAACAGG
rnacentral:rRNA from 1 species